AGGAAGGACAGAGCCCUUAGUCUUUGGAAGAGUACAAUGAAGUUGGUAAGACCAUUCUCUCCCCACUCCCAGACAGCUCCUGGCUUCAGGAUGAGAAGCAUCUUAUUCAACCUGCCUGGCAGUUUAUUGCCAAACUGAAGGUUUACAACUCCAAGACUUUGACCAAACAUCUGGAGAAGAAAUGAGCCUCAACUUCUCUCCUUCCUCAUCCUGCCCAAGCAAAAACUGAACUCAGGCUGAAGCUCAUAUUUCUUUGGAACUGAUUGGUACAGUUUCUGCUCACCUUAAGGUUUUGCCAGUUCUACCAGAAGAAUAUCAUGCUUCAAAUUCAAGGGAGUGUUACUAAGUCCAUUCAGUUGUCAAAACUCCUUCUCAGGGUACAUAAACUAGUCCUCAAAUAUCAGGAAGUGUUACCAAGACUAUUCUGUUGUCAAAGCUCCUUCUGCAGGUGUGUACCUAGGAACAUUCUACAGUUGGCAUGUACAGAUUUAUGGGUGGGAUGCAUCAGUGGGUGUCUUUAGCCUUUUCUUCAGUCUUCUGUCCAUUUUAGCCAUUCAGUAACCAUCUUCUUCUACAAACACUCACAUGCACAACUAGCAUACCCAUACAUCCUCUUUGAAUUUUACGAUAACGUCUCCUAAUUUUACUGUACUUUCCCAAGCAUUUGGUACAGUGCUCAGGAAAUUUUACAGGAAAAUACUGUUUAUUGGAAAGGGCUAUAGAAGCUUAAACUCCACUCUGUUCUAAAAAGACCAGUAGCAAAUUAUGUCGGUUUUACUAUACAACUGAACAUCAGCAAUUUUUUUUUUCCUGUUCAUCUUUAGUGGGAGCCAUCAAAUGUUGAUAAAUGACCAAAAAAUGUUUAUUUCCUUCCUCUCUUAAAAAUUUAGUUGCACUGACUAGAAAGUGUCCUUAUCAAUGUGUAGUUAUAUUUAACAUUUGAAAAUAACAGACAAUAUAUUGAAUACAAAAUACUGAAUGUGUUCAGUUUGGUAAUUAUUUCCUGAAAAGACAACUGCAGAGAUCCUCUAGAGAGUUUAAUCAGGUACAUGUUCACAAGCCAAAACAACGCAACAUUUUACAGAAUAGCAUAAUAUCAGUACCUUCACAUUUCUACAGAGCUGAUGGGGGUAGUAGAAUUGAACCUAUAUUAAGGAGCCUCUUACUGUAAUAUUUUAGAAUUAAAUAGAAUAAAUACCCUUGUGGGUAGGAAUU